AACUUAUGCUGAUUUUGGGCACUUGACCCCAUCUGUGAGGUAGGCAAUGGAGACUAAUUAAUUUGGUUGCUAAAGGUUGUCAAAUCCGCGCUGAACUCAAUUGAUCCCUCCUCCUUUCGAUCCCUCCUUCAGUUGUCAAAUACGUGCAUUCUUAAUCUGGAUUCGUUCAUUUACUAUAAUCGAUCUCAGCCAGGGCUCAAUCGACCUCAGCUAUUUGUCUAGGACUCAAUUGAUCUUCAGCUUCGAUCGAUCUUUGUGCUCAAAAUAGUUAGGACUCAAUCAAUCUUCAGCUUCGAUCGAUCUUAGCUAGGACUCAAUCGAUCUUCAGCUUCAAUCCGAAUCGAUCUGUGUGCCGCCUCAUAUCAGAAUUGAUCUUUAGCUUUCAUUUUUCAGAAUCGAUUGAUCAUAUCUGAAUUCAUCUUUCAGAAUUGAUCUUCAGCUUUCAUCUUUCAGAAUCAAGCUUUAGCUCCAACGUAGACCUGAGUUCUUUGGCUUCAAUCUGAAGGAAAUAAGCUCUCUGGCAUAUUUGCGGCAACUAUUUCUUGCUGGAAAUAAGCUCUCUGACAAAGUCAUGUGUUUUUGCUUCUUUAGCACUAGUAUAUUUUAUGAUAUGGUAAUGCAUUCCAUGGGAAACACUGAGUAUUGAAGGCUUUGUUUAGUUAAGUCCACCACUGCUCCUUCUAACCUAUGUUUGCUAUGUUUGAGCAUGGAUCUUAAAGUUACUAACACAAUACGCCGGAAAAAGUGACUUAUUAUAUUUUCUCAUAGUAUUUGAACCAUUUGUUUUGUGUUUUCUUAAAAUUGCUUUCUUGGGAGAAAAUGGAAGUGGGAUCUGUUGAGGGUAGUUUCCUGUUUAAUUAUCACAUGCCACACACUACAAGACUCUGUUUGGUCUGUGGUGCAUGUCUGAUGUGGAUCACCAAUGAUUUCUAGUAAGACCAAUGUGACAAUGAUUGCUCAUAUUGGUAUAUGUAAAUUUUCUUUCUAUUAUUCUCCUAAAGUGAGGGUUUAGUUUAGUAGAAGCGGUUGAUCACACCACUAAUGAUUUUAUUGGCUUUCAAGUUUUAGAAAGCAGAAAAUAAUUAACAAAAAUGCUGUCAUAGCGGAUAAAGAAAGCCAUCACUGACAACCUAAAGAAACUCGCCAACUUGAUUGACCUUGUAAAUCUUCCUUCAAUGCUUUGAGAAUUUGUGGGUUAAUCUCAGAUCUCGUUUGGGCUGUUUCAUGCGUGUCUGGUCAUACAUCAAGGCCAACAAUCUCCAGGAUCCAAAUAACAAGAACGUGGUCAAUUGUGAUGAAAAGUUGAGGAGUAUUUUGUGUUGGGUAAACCUCAAGUUGAGCUUGCUGAACUUCCUACACUGAUCAAGCUGCAUUUCC